GAUGAACGCUGACAGAAUGCUUAACACAUGCAAGUCUUUGGCGAAGCUGUGCUUGCACAGCCUAGCCAAGGCGGACGGGUGAGUAACGCGUAAGGAACUUGCCCUGCAGUCAGGGAUAACAGACGGAAACGACUGAUGAGACCUGGUAAAGUCAGGCGGACUCAUGUCCAGCCUGAUGAAAAGAGAUGCUGCAGGAGAGCCUUGCGUCCUAUUAGCUUGUUGGUGGGGUAACGGCCCACCAAGGCGAUGAUAGGUAGCCGGCCUGAGAGGGUGGACGGCCACAAGGGGACUGAGAUACGGCCCUUACUCCUACGGGAGGCGGCAGUGGGGAAUAUUGGACAAUGGGGGCAACCCUGAUCCAGCAAUUCUGUGUGCACGAUGAAGGUUUUCGGAUUGUAAAGUGCUUUCAGCAGGGAGGAAAAAAAUGACGGUACCUGCAGAAGAAGCGACGGCUAAAUACGUG
rnacentral:rRNA from 1 species